UACGAAGGGUGCAAGCGUUACUCGGAAUUACUGGGCGUAAAGCGUGCGUAGGUGGUUUGUUAAGUCUGAUGUGAAAGCCCUGGGCUCAACCUGGGAAUUGCAUUGGAUACUGGCAGGCUAGAGUGCGGUAGAGGGUAGUGGAAUUCCCGGUGUAGCAGUGAAAUGCGUAGAGAUCGGGAGGAACAUCCGUGGCGAAGGCGACUACCUGGACCAGCACCGACACUGAGGCACGAAAGCGUGGGGAGCAAACAGG
rnacentral:rRNA from 1 species